GCUGAAACACCAGUUUUCAUAUGAUCACUAAUGUUAAGCAACAUGAAGCCUGGUCAGUACCUAGAUGGGUGCCUACUUGGGAAUACCAGGUGCUGUAAG